rnacentral:precursor_RNA from 1 species
CGGGUUUCGGGACGACGGAACCGUGAUUAAAUUGGUUCGUUGUCGACGAAACCUGCA